GUGAAUAUGUCAUCUGCUAGCAAAUUGUAUUUACUGUUUGUAGGUCGCACUUGAGAACGAGGCUUGGUUUUUACGGGAAAAGAUAUCAAUUACAAAAUUGAGGCUAAGCUCGCACACUGCAUGGAGGUGCUCCAACUCACUGAGCCAAUGCCAAAUCAUUGUAUACACUCUUACUAUGACCAGGCUCAGGGACUUAGACAGGUUACUCACAGAAUCCACAGAUUGAGCAAUACUGUGGUAUGACAUACUUAUCAGGUGGUAUGCUUGUUAAAUGAAGAGAGUUGCCUCCCUUUAACUCCUGGCAAUUCCUAGCCAGGUGGCAGUGGUGUAUAAAUGAAAACAAACUUGACUAGUGGCUGUGUCUGGCCGGCGUGUCUGGUGACUAUGAUAUCCUGACUGACACUAGGAUCACGAACUGGUGUUGUGUAUGGGGCCACAACACAAAUCUAACCAGCAGGUCAAAACACUGGUCAAAGGCUGACCUCUGCAGAUAAGCUGUGAAACAACAUGGGUGACAUUGACUGCGGUGACUGCGGUGGCUGCGACUGUGACUGUACUGAUGGUGACUGCGGCUGCAACGACUGCAAAUGUGACUGCAACCAUUGCGACCCAUGUGACCAGUUUGCAUGUGGUCUCUGUUGUGGUGGCUGUGUGAAUGACACCACAGACACAUCAAUGGCCGCAGUUUACUUGGGCACCAACACUAACACAUCCUCCAACUCAUCGUCUCAGACGCGGAACCUACAUAACGACAACAAGAAGGAACAAAGAAACAAGUACCUGGCCCCGAAUGGUGAACUGAAUGGGCUGAACAAUAGCCAGGUUGAAGGCGAGGUCGUGAUGAACCAACCAGGAACAGACCCCAAUGUUGUCAUGUCACAACCACGAGGAGAUCCACAAGGGGAACCACGAGGAGAUCCACCUCCCUAUGAGAGUUGUGUGGACACCAAAAACUGAUCCUACUACAUGUAUCUCACUGACUCAUUCUUACCGGUGCAAACAAGGCUGUGAAGAAACAAUGAACAGCCAAACAAUAAACGCUGUGUGAAGACAUGAAGUGUUUUUUACGAUGCCUCAGGACCUGGACUUACGACAUGAAGUUGUAUAGAACUACAACCACUUUCAAAGUUUCAUUUAGGACUUCCUCAGAAUCCUGUGAUAAGGGUUAUUAAAAACUGAAAUGUCGUAUGUCAAUACAUUAUGUCUGUUGAUGCCCUUGUGUUGCGAAAAUUGAGCACAUUUAUAUUAAUAUCAUUAUUUUACCAUAGACUUUCAAUGAAUGUUUUUUGCAUUUUGUCAACAACUGUUCUCGUAGAAACUGUAACGACCUGAUUCUCAUUUGCCAGGUGACACAACACCUGAUCCUCAGCAUCAUUGUCAGCUCGUUCUAGAUCUGGGCUCCUGAUAAGUUUUAGAGCCAUCCUUCACAUUGGGUAUUGAUAGUUUUCUUUGUGGACAUAUCAUAAUUCCCUUGGGUCCAGUCUAAAGGGUAUUAUUACACCAGUGAGUUGAUAUUUUUUUAUAUCAUUCUGCUUAAAUACCAUUUCAGGUGGCUUCUAAUAUAUAUCUGUUCAUGUGCUUAAACAAAUGUGUAACAUGCCUCAAAAACUGACAACAGCGAUAUAUAUGUCUGAUUAACAAUAAGCGAGAUGUAGUGCCCUACUUAUGCAAUAUUCACAAAAGCAGAUUGGAGUCGUGUAUGUGUGAUGCCUGAAUGUUAUCUAAGAAAUAUCAACAUUUUGUGCUCCCUGAUUGAAUACAAUCCAACCUCAGCAGUGUUGGACUCCUUUUUAUGUAAAGGGGGGUUAAGUUUUGUAUCCUUACAAUUUUGACGUCAAUUAUAUGCACCUUCUCUCCCUAGAUCGAUUGUCAUAUCUCUCCCACGUUUGGGUGUGAUCAUUUGGCCAUUGCACUUAAAUGUGCUGUCCAGCUACAUCUAUUGGGAAAAAUUCACUGGACACUCCCCUCUCAAAAAUAACGUCGUCCAAUUUACAUCCUCAUCAAGUUCUGAGCGCAUGUUCGAAUCUCCAGAAACAAUGGUAGAACAAUGUUUUGGCGUGAAAUAAACCACGCUUCAUUCUUCAUUGUUCUUUGCAAUAUAUCUCGUAGCUAUCUUAUAUCAGAAAUUAAUGAUCUGUAAAGAAAUAUAGGUACACAAGUUGAAAAUGAUACAUUGGGUAAUUUCACAGAGUGUUGUUAUACUAUUGGGUUUUGUAAAUGUUUCACUCAUAUCAAAAAGCAACGAACUCCAAAUUAAUCCAGUAAUGGAAAUUUAUUGUGCAUAUUUUAUAUAAAUACUUAAAAAUAGUUAUAUGGAGCUCUGCAAUUCAUAUGGGGUACUUGGCGCCAUUUCUGACCCAGAAUCUCUGCAGGGGUUCUAUCCUACAGAUACAGCCCUGCACUCACUCACCCUCAACCCCACCAACCCUCUUUAAAAGUCAUUUCAAAUACAUGUACAUAAAUAUUUGUGCCUUCAAUAACUGACACCAAUUAACAUUAUUAGUAAACUUAGUUCAUUAAGUAAUCUUGUUGAAUUGAUGCUAUUAUACCAUCCCAAUUAUAAGACCCUGUGUCAAUGCCUGCCUCACAUGCUUGCUAUACAGCAGGACCCAGUCACAGAGUGCGGUCUUACUGUAUGAGUGAGUGACUGAGUUGGUUUAAAGCCGUUUUGAACAGUAUUGUCAUGUCAUAUCAUGGCGUGUCAGCUUGGUGAAGCAGGGAACCUCGAAGCUUUGCAAGCUUUAGGCAUUUACCACUUUAGUUAAACCAACGAACAAGGGCAUGGUGCAAGAAACAGUCAGGCGAAUCGGGGACUUGAACAAACUACCACAGGUUUAUGCCUCAUGUAAGAGAUGUUACUCUGCACAGCGAAUUGCAUCACCUCAGAUGACAGUGCCACCUGUGUCUCCUUUACUGAAUGAAAGUAUUAAAGAACAUCAUUCAUGUCAUUUCAAAUGAAAUAAAGCAAGAGUCUCAAAGUU